rnacentral:rRNA from 1 species
CAUCCAGAGAUGGAUGGUUCCUUUCGGGGACGCGGUGACAGGUGCUGCAUGGCUGUCGUCAGCUCGUGUCGUGAGAUGUUCGGUUAAGUCCGGCAACGAGCGCAACCCACAUCCCUAGUUGCCAGCAGUUCGGCUGGGCACUCUAUGGAAACUGCCCGUGAUAAGCGGGAGGAAGGUGUGGAUGACGUCAAGUCCUCAUGGCCCUUACGGGUUGGGCUACACACGUGCUACAAUGGUGGUGACAGUGGGUUAAUCCCCAAAAACCAUCUCAGUUCGGAUUGGGGUCUGCAACUCGACCCCAUGAAGUCGGAAUCGCUAGUAAUCGCGUAACAGCAUGACGCGGUGAAUACGUUCCCGGGCCUUGUACACACCGCCCGUCACACCAUGGGAGUUGGUUCUACCCGACGACGCUGCGCUAACCUUCGGGGGGCAGGCGGCCACGGUAGGAUCAGCGACUGGGGUGAAGUCGUAACAAGGUAGCC